CCAAAAUAGACUUCCAAAAUUAAAAAAUGAAAUUGCAAAUUAGACAGAUCGAAGAAAAGGUAAUGUCUAUAAAGUUGCCAAAUACUGCUUAUUUGUGGGCUUAAACAAAAGCCAUGUCGUGACCCCGAAGGAAUUAGCUCCUCGCCCUUUGGCUAGGAAAGGGAAAACAAGCAAGAGUGUGCAUUUUGCAAGCAGCCUUAUCUGGGAAGUUGUUGGGUUUGCACCAUUUGAGAAGAGAAUUAUUGAGCUGUUUAAAGUUGGCAAGGACAAGUGUGCUUUGAAGGUAGCAAAGAGAAAGUUGGGCACUCACAAGAGGGCCAAGAAGAAGAGAGAAGAGAUGUCUAACGUUCUCUAGAAAAUGAGGGUGCUGGAGGUGAUGAAAAGAAGUAAAGUUUCUGUUGUCAGAGUGAAAAUCAAAACUUUGGGGGGUAGCAUUUGUUUUGGAUUAGUUAAUACUGUUUCAUUUAGCUUCCAAUCUAUUUUGUUUCUUAAAACAUAAAAUUAUGGUUUGAAAUUGAUUUUAUGUUGGUAUUACCACAUCUUUGGUUAUUUUAUUAGUGAAAAAAACUAUCAAUGAUAAGUACACCAC
rnacentral:lncRNA from 1 species